rnacentral:rRNA from 14 species
UUCUUGACGACCAUAGAGCAUUGGAACCACCUGAUCCCAUCCCGAACUCAGCAGUGAAACGAUGCAUCGCCGAUGGUAGUGUGGGGUUUCCCCAUGUGAGAGUAGGUCAUCGUCAAGAUU